UUAAUAAUAAAUCUCGAUGUACUUUCAUUGCCGUUACUCGUAUUCUAAACCCAUUACACUCUCCCUUUGAACAAUAAGUUGCUCAAAACAACGUUUACUUAAAAACGUGAACUUUUUUGGAACCUGUCUGUGCCCCCUAAACAAAAUCACAAAAGAGGAUUUUCUACAAACAUGAAAGGUACCUUUCAAUAUACAACAUUUAUCGCCACUUAAGUCAGCCAAUUUAUUCCACAUCGUCUGCUCGAUUUCGUAUAGCCUUUUGGAUUAUUUCAAUGGACGUUCACCAAUAAGCACAUAGAGGUACAGUAAAGUAGCAGGUAACCCUAAAUCACAGGUUACCCUAAACACUGUGGCGACGCAACCCUCGGUUUCGAAAAAACGACUUUACCCUUAAAUAAGGACCCAGCAAAACCCGCGCGAAUUCUGCGCGGACGAGGAAAACGUGGUAAAUAAGUGGUGUAGUCAGAGGGGAAAAAAGUACCUUUGUACCUUGCGGUGCACUGGUCGGACUAAUUAUCUCCCCCCCCCCCCAUAAUAAGUGUUUUAAUAAAGACACCAUAACUCUUGCAGUUUUUAAAUCAAAGAUGGCCCCAGUGGGGGCGCCUCAAACACUAGUCGGGCGUUACUGGGCCCGACUUAGGUUUGUUGGUGAUGACAUUUCACAAUACACCCAAAAAAAAAAAAAACAAAAAAACUUGCAUACAAAAAUAGAUUACAUAACAUACAUCCCUUUACAAAUCACACAAAGUUAUAUCCUGAUUUCAGCCCAUUCCAAAUCAUUGGGCUUUCUUUUAAGGUUCAGAGUUCUUUUCCUUCUCAAGGCAGUUACAAUUAGUUUAAAGAAGUAUCACUUAUGAAGACACUUUCCAUUAUCAUUUUAUAUCUGGUUUUCCACAAUUUACUUAGUGGUGCAAAUGCACAACCAGUAUGGUUUCUUUUGUUGUCACUAAAAUGUUCGUCAAAUCUGGAAGUAAAAAUUGUUUUCUGGUCACAUAUGUAUAGCCCAAUUCUUUUUAACUCGUCCCAUACUUCUUUUGACCUAUAGCAAUCAAUUGAGAAGUGUUUUCACAAAACAAUUCCGCUUCACCACUGCUCUUAAGGGGAGUCUGCCAUUCAUUGUUCAUGCAUUUCCCCUGACUUUAUGUAUAUAUAUAUAUAUAUAUCCUGCGCCCUGACGUUUUUUAAAAAGAUAGAAAAUAUACUACUUCUAACCUUUGUAACAACACAAAAGCAUAUGCGCAAAGACGACCUGAUUGAAGACAAGUAUGAACGAAAAGGCGGCUCUAGGUAAAGCCCGCCUCCAGCACUCCUACCCUGCAGAGUACAUGGGUACUUUUUGCGUAAAGAACAGGUAAAAAGAUUAAUUCGUCAAGACAAGAUCAACAGCUGUCAAAACAACACACAACGUCAAGCAACUGCCCCUGUCUCAGCUCCAUCAGACUAUCCGCUGACAAAAUCAGUAACUUCUACAGAAGUGAAGAUCUAUUUAAAAAAAAAAAGAAAAUAGGAUGGAAGUGCUUUAUCUGCCACACCUUUGGCCACUUCACACAACUCUGGAAAACUGCGAUAGUCACAAUGAUUCACAAGCCUGGAAAAAAAGCCAUAUAAUAAUACUAGCUACAGACCAAUCAGCCUUCUAAGCCAAGUGGGGAAAUUUGUUGAAAAAGUUUUCACCUCAAGACUAACCAGCCACAUAGGAGAACAUGGGGCUCCCGGGUGUCCUCCGAGCUGAUUUCAAGAGAUAAAGUUUCUACACAUUCAAGGGGAUCCAGUUUGUCCUGCAUGAACUGAGCAAGAAUUCUUACCUUCAGAGAAGAGCAAGAUUUGUAGGCUGUUUUCCAACAUAUCAGGUCAAAUGUUUGGCAGAUUGUGGGCGAUUGUGCUGUCUAAGACUAAUCUGACUUCAGCAUUCAUUGGCCAGCUUGCCAACUGUAGAAGAUGAACUUAAAUAAAUAAAUAUUCAGUAUUUUAUCCAGC